GUAUGGGCGCCAAAACACAUAAGGUCUCCAUACCCCAUCCGGUAUGAGAGACCACAAUCCCGGUAGGGUUCCCUACGGACCCGGUCCGUCCACCAUCUCCCAAGAUAUCUAGUCAGGCUGACCACAUUAUACAAUUAUCAAUUUACAUAACCUUUCAUUCCUCUUUUCCUCAGUCAGCAUCAUCAAUUCACACACAAACAAGCAA
rnacentral:lncRNA from 1 species